AUUGAACGCUAGCGGCAUGCCUAACACAUGCAAGUCGAACGGAGCGGCGGACGGGUGAGUAAUGUCUAGGAAUGUGCCUAGUAGUGGGGGAUAACUUCCGGAAACGGUCGCUAAUACCGCAUACUAUCAGAUCAGCCUAGGUCGGAUUAGCUAGUUGGUGGGGUAAAGGCCUACCAAGGCGACGAUCCGUAACUGGUCUGAGAGGAUGAUCAGUCACACUGGGACUGAGACACGGUCCAGACUCCUACGGGAGGCAGCAGUGGGGAAUAUUGGACAAUGGGCGAAAGCCUGAUCCAGCCAUGCCGCGUGUGUGAAGAAGGUCUUCGGAUUGUAAAGCACUUUAAGUAGGGAAGCGGUACCAGCAGAAUAAGCACCGGCUAACUUCGUGCCAGCAGCCGCGGUAAUAC
rnacentral:rRNA from 1 species